GCCUUCGUGGUGUAGUGGUCAGCAUGCUCGACGCGUAACCCAGAGGUCCGUGGUUCGAUUCCCGGCGAAGGCG
rfam:Stegodyphus mimosarum contig88190, whole genome shotgun sequence.